AAAGGAAGGAAGGAAGGAAGGAAGGAAGGAAGGAAGGAAGGAAGGAAGGAAGGAAGGAAGGAAGGAAGAUAAUGCUAAUCCUAUCUUUGCUUCUUCCUUCCUUCCUUCCUUCCUUCCUUCCUUCCUUCCUUCCUUCCUUCCUUCCUUCCUUCCUUCCUUUCUUUU
rnacentral:snoRNA from 1 species